rnacentral:rRNA from 1 species
CCUACGGGAGGCAGCAGUGAGGAAUAUUGGUCAAUGGGCGCGAGCCUGAACCAGCCAAGUAGCGUGAAGGAUGACUGCCCUACGGGUUGUAAACUUCUUUUAUAAAGGAAUAAAGUGAGGCACGUGUGCCUUUUGUUAUGUACUUUAUGAAUAAGAAUCGGCUAACUCCGUGCCAGCAGCCGCGGUAAUACGGAGGAUCCGAGCGUUCUCCGGAUUUAUUGGGUUUAAAGGGAGCGUAGAGGGGUUGUUAAGUCAGUGGUAAAAUGUCCGGGCUCAACCCGGGCCGGCCGUUGAAACUGGGGAUCGUGAGUGGGCGAGAAGUAUGCGGAAUGCGUGGUGUAGCGGUGAAAUGCAUAGAUAUCACGCAGAACUCCGAUUGCGAAGGCAGCAUACCGGCGCCCGACUGACGCUGAGGCACGAAAGCGUGGGGAUCGAACAGGAUUAGAUACCCCAGUAGUC